rnacentral:rRNA from 1 species
GACAGAGGUCCCAAGCGUUAGGCGGAAUCACUGGGCUUAAAGCGUGUGUAGGCGGAUUUGUAAGUACCUUGUGAAAUCCCACGGCUCAACCGUGGAACUGCUUGGUAUACUGCUUAUCUUGGGCCAUCUAGGGGCGAGCGGAACAAACGGUGGAGCGGUGAAAUGCGUAGAUAUCGUUUGGAACGCCAAUGGUGAAAACAGCUCGCUGGGGAUGGGCCGACGCUGAGAUACGAAAGCCAGGGGAGCGAACGGG